rnacentral:lncRNA from 1 species
CAACUGUUUCCAUCAUGUCUCUCCUGAUGCUUAAUCUUAGGUAGGGUUUCAGAGUGACAAGGACCUGUUACUCAGAAUUCCCAUCCUGAGUCAUAAACAAGGUGGAGGCAGAAUCGUGUUGGUGCUCGCGUCUUCUGCAGGUGUCUACCAUAGUCCAUGCA